GAGGAGUGACUGAGUGGCUUAAAGUACUAGUUUGCUAAACUAACAUACAAUAUUUGUAUCGUGGGUUCGAAUCCCACCUUUUCC
rnacentral:tRNA from 1 species